GGACGACAAGAGUUAAAGUUUCUUCGGAGACACACUUUUUGUACUGGCCGACCAGGUCCCCAGUGUGGUUCCGGUGACUCCUCCUCCUCCUCCUUGAAAUGAAUGGGCAACAAUCGCAGCCCACUUUCUCUCCACUGGGGGUCUUCUGAGGCCGUUAGAGCUUAUAGACCUGGACGACGAUGAUCUUGAGCACCUCUGACAGGUCAGGAAUGCUCCGCCAAACGUCGUGAGGAAGCCGCCGGACCAGCUCACAAACACCGCUUUACCAAACUCAAAGCUGUACGGAAGAACGGUUAAUAAAAGACCCAUUUCAAAACAGAUUCUGCUGGGAGUCUGUGUGUAUGUGCGUGUGUGUGCAAAGAGGAAUUACGUGUGGAGAUGAUGAGAAUGAUGGAAGUCGGCGACGACCUUCUUGACAUACAAGGACGUUAUGAUGAAUGUCAUUAAACCUGCACAAAGAAUAGGUAGAGAGUGGAAACAUGUCACCCAUUCCUCCUUUUUAGUCAAAAUUCAACAGCCAGUACUGAGGGAAGAAUUGGAAGGCUCUUCCGAUGAGUUUUAAAAGAGAAAAUCCAUUGUUUAAUUCCUUUGGAUCAGUGGCAGAUUGCUUUAAAUACUAAUUUUCUCCAUAAAAUUGGAUGCAAUCAAUUCCGCAAUGCUGGUCGACUUCUGUCACUGAAUGUUUUGAUGAAAAUGUGUUUUUAAGUGAACCAUGCCAAAUUCAAGGCUGAGCAAUGAUCUGCCAUUUUCAAAAAUCAAUCCUUCAAAGCCAAAAGGUAGCACUGUCGGGCUCCACCUGCAGCUGCACACAGUCUACAAGCAACAGAACACUGACUGGUCAUCUGGAAUACACCAGACACUAUAACAGCAGUAAGAAGACAUGGAAACAAUUUCCUGAUUUAUGUGGGGUCUCACAUAAAAAAAUUAAAAUAUUCUCCAAUUCUGAAGAAUGCCAUACCCGAGCUACCUUUAAAUAUUUAAAUCUCAACUCAAGACCUAUUUCAACACUUUCACAUUUAGUUAAAUUCCAUCUAGAACACAACUAAAUUCUUGUCCUGCCUGACAACCUGACAUCUGGAUUUUGGCCUGUUUUGCUGCCGUUUCUCUUCCUCCCCAGUCUUUUAUUGGGAAAGAGGAGUGGGUAGCAAUGAGCCAAAUGAGCCUGUUGCCGUAAGGUUUUUGGCUCAACCGACUGGGACAAGACCUGAGGAAGACCAUUUCCCUGAAAGUGUCAAUGUGUGGCCCUUCAUUUAAAUAACUGGACUAUCAUGCGAUUUAAAUUAACAUUGGACAUCAUUGUAUUGUGUGAUAAAUGCAUAUUAUUCCCAAUCAGGAAUAUACGUCAGCCCCAUUGACGAAUUGUCGCCGGUUUUGAGAAAAAUCUCUGCUACCAUUAUCCGGGCCCUGGUGGGAAAAUGGUUGGGGGCCACUCUAAACUAGGGGAUGUUGUUGAUUGUUGUGAACUGUGAGCCUGUGAAGCUCUUUGAGACUAUUUUGUAAUUAAGGGUUGUAAAACGAUGGUUUCAGGCCAAACCCUCAUAUAGCGAAAUGUGGUCAAUUUCAUGUUGUUGUUUUUUUUUUUCGGAAAUCACUACUAUUGGUCAGUUCCCUCAGGAUUUUUUAAUUCUUUUCAGAUUCUUGACCAGAUUAACCCUUUCAUGCACCCUGUAACCUGAUAACAUGAUAAACUGUCCACUGUAGUAACCGCCGUGGGCCUGAAAGGGUUAAAUAAAGUGGAAAAAGGCUUGUCCUCUUUGGGAGGGCAGUGUUAAUGGCUCAAUAAACAUGCUUUUUUUUUGGUUUCCUGAAAAGUGGUGGUCUUGCAGCAAAGGGGAUUUCCGAUCAACGCCAGGCAUAAACAAACAUGAAAUAAAGUUGACUCAAAUCAC